rnacentral:rRNA from 1 species
GACGAACGGUGGCGGCGUGCUUAACACAUGCAAGUCGAACGGAAAGGCCCUGCUUUUGUGGGGUGCUCGAGUGGCGAACGGGUGAGUAACACGUGAGUAACCUGCCCUUGACUUUGGGAUAACUUCAGGAAACUGGGGCUAAUACCGGAUAGGAGCUCCUGCUGCAUGGUGGGGGUUGGAAAGUUUCGGCGGUUGGGGAUGGACUCGCGGCUUAUCAGCUUGUUGGUGGGGUAGUGGCUUACCAAGGCUUUGACGGGUAGCCGGCCUGAGAGGGUGACCGGCCACAUUGGGACUGAGAUACGGCCCAGACUCCUACGGGAGGCAGCAGUGGGGAAUAUUGCACAAUGGGCGGAAGCCUGAUGCAGCAACGCCGCGUGCGGGAUGACGGCCUUCGGGUUGUAAACCGCUUUCGCCUGUGACGAAGCGUGAGUGACGGUAAUGGGUAAAGAAGCACCGGCUAACUACGUG